CGGCUACCAUAGAGAGGGUGCUGAGCGCCGGCCGAGGGAGAAACCGACGUUCAAAUUGCUAGAGGGGAUCCGAUGUACCAUAGAGGCCUUGGGUGGGGAGCGAGCGUCUCAGCUGGUCCGCUCUCUGGGCGCCAGGGUUGUCACGGAGAUGGGGCUCAGACCUUGGCUCGCGGCGAUGAAAUCGGAAUCUGCGAGCCGACCCGGCGGGCAGUGUCUGCGUGCCCGGGGAUCCCGGCCUGCGGCUGCACUUGAGAACUGGUGCCCGCGGGACUCGGCGUGACGGCUGUCGGGCGUGGUCGCCGGCCCCACUUCGCAGUCCUGGGUGCCCUCCUGGGGUAUCUGCGAGAGGAGCCAAAGGACUUUGGGACCCCUUUGGGUCCCUCCAUCCGCACCAUUGCCCGCAGGACGAAGAACCCUCAGACCUUGAUUUUUCACGUAAUUUAUCAGUUAAACUAAAUUUGCAACGUGUAGAUUUAUUUUUGAGACAGUCUUCUCUAUGUAGUCUAGAGUGGCCUUGAAUAUUGGACCUUCCUGCUUCAGCCUCCAGAGCGUCGGGAUUCCAGGCUUGCACCAGCACACCAAACCUGUAAGAUGUAAAUCGAUGAUGGGAGAUUACACAGCCCAGCCCAGAGUGGUGGUACACACCUGUAACCCCAGCAUUCAGGAGGCUGAGGCAGGAGGAUAGUUGCGAGUUGGAAACCAGCCUGGGCUACAAAGUGAGCUCAUAGUGAGACCCUGUCUCAAAAAGCCAAGUAAUAAUAAUAAAAUAACAAUAAUAAUCGUAAGAGAGAUAGCGCAUGAGAGAAGGGGGCUGCAUGUUUUAUGAAGGGACAUCGCUAUUUUUUUGUAACCAAGCCACACCCCCACCCCUGCUGUCUCUGAUCUGAAGCUUCAGGCCUUACUGCCCUAAGGACUUGUUUGUCAAAGCCUGUGUCCCGAUUCUUUUAAGACUGGAGUGCAGGGUUGGGAAAAUAGCUCAGUGGCACAGUGUCUACCUGGCAAGUGAAAGGUUGUGAGUUUGAUCCCUGGUAUCAAAGGGGGGAAAAAAUGAAGUACAUUUGUACAGUAAAGUGUGUAAAAUACACAAAUCUCGGGCUUAGUUUUAGUUUUGUGCUGGGGAUUGAACCUAGGGCCCCAUUCAUGGUACACAAGUGUUUAACCAUUAAACAACGACCCCAGCUCCAUUAAAAUUAAUCUUUAAGGGCUCGGGAUUUAGCUCAGCGGCAUAAGUGCCUGCUUUGGAAGCAGGCAGUCGUGAGUUCGAUCCCUGGUACCGAGAAAAAGACAAAAAAAAAAUUAAUCUUUAAGAUACUUGCACAUCAAGCUGGGCAUGGUAGCUCACGCCUGUAAGCCCAGCACUCGGGAGGCUGAGGCAGGAGGAUCAUUGUGAGUUUGAGAACAGUCUAGGCUACAAAGUGAGCUUAAGGCCAGCCUGAACUGCUUAUCAAGACCCUGUCUCAAAAAAGACAAAAAAAAAAAAAAAAAAAGAUACUUGCACAUUUGUAAAUCAUACCCACAGCAAUUUAUAACAUGCUUCCUGCACUCCAAAAAAGUAUUCCUUGUUUCUUUCCAGUUAAUACCCCCUCUUGUGAAGUUACCACUCUCUGACUUCUGCCACUAACAGUUACUGUACUGUUGCCUGUUUGGGACGUUUAUCUAAAUGAAAAUACGCUUUUUUGUUUUGUGCCUACCUCUUUAGCUCCAAGUACUGGCUGUAAGAUUUCAUCCAUAUUAUUGUGUAUAUCUAU